rnacentral:lncRNA from 1 species
AUUUUCAUUACUUUUUUCCUUUUGGGUAAAGGUGAGGGAACAGGCAUGGUAGUAGCGGAUAAAAUUUGUACAGUUUCCUGUACUAUUUUUUGGGAAUAAAUCCAGAUUUAGAGAUCAGGGUGGGCAGCAUGACAUAUUUGGGGAGUGUUGGAAUUGAACAUGUAUGUAACAGGUUCCAUUAGAUUAAAAGACUGUCUUUUUCUUUCUUGUCAACACAGGAUUUAUAUCUUUGUUAGUAUUGAUUUUUUGUUUGUUAAAAGGAAGAAGUCAUUCAGAAGACUAGAUGAAUAUAGCUUAGUUUAAAUAAAUUAUUCUCAGAUGAUACAAAGACAACAAAUGAAGACACUCCAGGACAUGGAAAGAUGGCUUACCAAAGGCUGAUUAUAUUUGACAAAACUAGUACAUUUUUUGGUAAUUCCUUUUGUAAGCAAAGGAAGCGUCAUGUAUUUUUCAAUAAUUAUUUCACUUGAAGAUCUUUUAGUUAAACUCGACUUCAGAAGAAAUGUAUAGAAGAGGAUGAACAAGGCAGUGGGGAGAAGGCACUGAAAAAGAAGCAGCCUGUAUGCAGACAUUACUUCGGAACGCUUUGCAAAGGAGGCUUUUGAAUGUCAGUAACAUUUGCCUGAAAUCUGGAAAGCCUGGCUUUCAGGAGCCCCAGAAAGUGAGUGGCAGAAACCAUCUCAGUGGACACCUCUUAGAAGCAACUGUAUUCUUCCAGGACUUAAAGAAAAUUGUUGAUCAUCAUUUAUGUGAUGUUGCAAAUUUUAAUCUUGGUGUUUUCACUUGA